GUCUUAGAUCCUGCUUUGACUGAAAACCAGCAAGCUCUGCAGAAAGACUUUGAGGGUGAAAAACUUCUUUAAACAAGGGUUGUAUCUUGUUAAAGAAUGAAGAAACCUCCUAAGAAAAAGCAUUCAGGGUCCUUUGGUCACAUGUGCACAGAGGAGCUGAAGCAGGUGAAACUCUCCAGGGAGAAAGGACCUACAUCUUGGAGGGAGAAAAUAAUGCCACCACCUUCAAUUCUUCAUUAGCCCUGGUGUACAAUCCACAUGUGACUGGGGAUCUUCAUGGGUGUGGAAGGAAGAAGGAGGAACAGAACAGGGGCUUGCCAACUUUGUGUGUCAUCCUCCCCAUUGUAAAACUUGGAAGGUUCCAUGAAUAGAGAAUGCAAUAUCAAUAUUAUAUGGUUACCACUAGAACUAGCUGAACAAUGAAAACCUGACAUUCAAGGUGUCUGAAACAGAUCCAUUUGAUUUUUUUCUUCUGAAUUUUUAAAUUUGGAACUCUUAACUCCCUCCCGCCAUUUUUUUAUUGACAGAAUUUUUAACAGAAGACUCACUGUUUGGUUAAUUAAAAAUAUUUCCAAUGUUUUUAACUUAAAAAUGAAUAAAAAGAGACAGUUUUACACACACAUGCACACAUACACAGAGCCAAGUAAAAUAAAAAAAGGCCCCCAUAUUAUGAAAAAGAUUUUCAUUAAAAAGUAUAUUCACACAUUGACAUCCUCCUUGAGGGUGUGUUUCGGUGCAGUCAUUUGCAGGGAUACUUUACAUAAGGCUUAUGUUAUG